GAGUUUGAUCAUGGCUCAGGAUUAACGCUGGCGGCAUGCCUAAUACAUGCAAGUCGAACGGAGUAGCAAUACUUAGUGGCGAACGGGUGAGUAACACGUAUCUAAUCUACCAUUUAGUGGGGAAUAACUGUUGGAAACGACAGCUAAUACCGCAUAAUAUUGCUGGAUAAUUUCCAGUAAUGAAAGGAGCUUUCAAGCUCCGCUGAUUGAUGAGGAUGCGGCGCAUUGGCUAGUUGGUAGGGUAAUGGCCUACCAAGGCAAUGAUGCGUAGCCGAUCUGAGAGGAUGAACGGCCACAUUGGGACUGAGACACGGCCCAAACUUCUACGGAAGGCAGCAGUAGGGAAUUUUUCACAAUGGGCGAAAGCCUGAUGGAGCAAUGCCGCGUGACUGAUGAAGGUCUUCGGAUUGUAAAGGUCUGUUGUAAGGGAAGAAAUGGUAAAAACAGGAAAUGGUUUUAUCUAUGACGGUACCUUACCAGAAAGCCACGGCUAAACUAUGUGCCAGCAGCCGCGGUAAUACAUAGGUGGCAAGCGUUAUCCGGAUUUAUUUGG
rnacentral:rRNA from 1 species